rnacentral:lncRNA from 1 species
UGGCUGUCCCUCCUAAUCGCGUCUCCGUGCACCUCUGGAGCACGCCCUCCUGGUUCUCCUGAGUGUGUUAUGUGUGCACCAGGGGCGUGAUGAGAGCUUAGCUGAAAGGAGAGAAGACUCAGCAAGCACAUCACCUUGAAGCUGACCUGUCAGCCAGAUUUCGCAGCACCUGCCUGUUCCAGCCUGAGGGGCUGCGAUUCAUUCCUUGGGAAAGAGAGCUGCAAAUUCCCGCUCUAGGCCACAGUCCAAAUCCUUGCUCUUCUCUCUCAGGUUCUGGAAGACAGAAUGGAGGCAUCUACAGAGCAAGGACAUGUUUUCUACCUGAAUUAGCUUUUCUGACACCUUCAAACCAUCUCUAAGAAAUUGAUUUUUUAACAUACACAUAUACAGGUAAACAUUUAAAUCUGUGCCAUAAUGUAUUUGCACUUCGAGUCCCCCUGAAGUCCUAAGUCACAUGCUUCUCUUCCUAGGGGUUCUGUCUGAAGCAGAGACCCCUGGAUUGGAGCAGUGGGAAGAAUCCUGAUGAAUCAGGUGUUCCUGCCUGUUUACAUUAACUGGGCACCCUGCCUGCCCACCCCACAUGCUGAAUACUGCUGGGGAGAAGAGAAGAAACAUUUAUUAAAGGCAAGGAAAAAUUAGAGCCUUUUCAUUGAGGUCAGAAGAUUUUUGAGGUUGGAUCGGCUGGCCAGGUGCAUGACCAAUUUUCUUGGCUCCUUAGAAGCAGCAAAGUAUUUGAAAAAUAAUGGAGCCCUUCGUCCUACAAGUAAAAGCCCAUUUAUAUUGGGAAUUUUUUAAAAAGUGCUGGCGAUGGAAAAUUUCCGAUGAGAUGCAUUUCUUCCUGCCUGAAUGUCUUGAAUGCCUGCUGGAUUUGUCUCCCUGCUAAGACACUCACACUUGCAAAUCUGUGCUUUUCAAGGUGGGGAGAUGAAAAUAAAAAGUCUGUGAGAUGUAUUUCUGGGAGGCCUGAAAACAGGAAGCAAAUUGGAACCACAGCAUGUGGGGCACGGAUGCUGGAUUCUGGGGGAUAUUUGCUUAUUUGGAAAGGCUGCAAACAUUCCAUCCUACCCACUGCUAGGAGCUCUGCACUUUGCUAACGUCCCAUGGAAACCAAGGUUCUCUUUAGGACUCGACAGGACUGGGUUAUUUUUCUCAGCUUAAAUUGUUUUUAUAUGGUUAUCCUCAGUACUCUUUUCUGUUUUGGGAUAUUUUCAUACUUUUUAUUUUUUAAAAACCCCAGAAUAUCUUGAUUUUGAAAAGGUACAUUCACCCAAAUAAAGUGCCCAGCGCAUAGACAAGGCUGCCUCAAUAUUUCACGUGUCAACAGCCAAUGCCCCCAGUACGUGCAGAAAAGCCUGAGAACAAGGAAGGAAGAAAAGGGUCUGGUCCUUGCUCUGCGGGUAUUUAAGCAUUUCUCAGCCCCCUCCUCUGACUUCUCAACUAUGUUCACCUAUAUGGCCUCGAAUGGAGAGAACUGGGGUUAUAAAAGAG